GAAAACACGCAGAAAAGAAGAAGUAAAAGGACGUUUGCUUACCAGAGAGACUAUGGCAGGUGGAAAUAGUCAUCAAGCACCUUUGAAAUGCCUCUUUGAGUGGUUUCAGCGAAAUUUAAGUAGCUGGAAACGUAGACAGACGUUACCUGUAUCAAGGCAAAACGAUUCUGUUUUGCGAAAAAAAGUGGAACCGCGUGGAAACGUCUUUUAA
rnacentral:ncRNA from 1 species